AUCUCUCUCAUCUUUCUCACUCUGCUCUCUCUCUGUCUCAACUACCACCACCACACUACCACCACCACCCCCACCACCGUAUCAUCACCACCACCAACUCUGCUUUCUCUCUGAACUACCACCACCACACCACCCCCACCACCGUAAACCAAUCAAACCCACUGCCUCAUCGUUCGGUGCAAACACCGUCAAUCCAAUCAAAGCUCCAGAUUCAAUCGAUUGAUUAUCAGCAUCCUCCGUGGAAGCUUGUUGACCUUUGACCGACUUAAAGCACAAUUAUCUUCUUCAACAACAAAAAACCCUAACCCAUAUUUCCUAUCCGCACAAAAGGUCAAAACCCAUUAGCUUUGGAUUAAACAUCAGCACUCUCUCUCUCUCUCUCUCUCAAGAACACCACUGGUUAAAAGGGGCGAUCCCUGUCUCCUCCAUGCGGUUCCUAGCAAGCUGGAUCGUUUGCCUUCACAGGCCCAGUGACCACAAAAGAUUUAGAGAUUGAUGAGGGAUUUGUGAUUGAGUAAAGAACUGUGGUUGAGAGAGAAAAGGGAAGAAUAUGAGGGGCCACCUAUUUUGGUUUUAUUACCUGAAAUGGAUGGGAGGUGGUUGAUGAAUGGUGAUAUUGGGUUUGUAGUGGCCGGAUACGGCGGUGGUGGUGGUGGCUGGGAUACGGUGGUGGUGGUGGCGGGGGUUGAUUGAAGAGAGAAAUGGAAGAGAGAGAUGGAAGAGGUGGGGGAUAGUUGAAGGAAGAAGAUGAGCUGGGCAAAUCAACUCGUUAUUUAUCUUCAAACAUUAUUUUGGACCAAAAUGACUAAAAUGCCCCUGAGGGUAAAGACAAAAUAGCAGGGUUAUUAGUGGGGAAUCUGACCUGAUUUGAGAUUUGGACUAAAAUGGCAACAAAAUGCAAACCACAGGGACCCAGAUGUAAUAAGUUUGAGAUUUGGACUAAAGUGGCAAAACUGGCCAAACAACAGGAACCAAAAUGGCAGUUUACUCUUUAAACUUUAAUAAACAUUUGACAAUCAAGAAUUUAUUCUU
rnacentral:lncRNA from 1 species